rnacentral:rRNA from 1 species
CACCGCCCGUCACAUCACGAAAGCGGGCUGCACUAGAAGUCACCUCGCCAACCCGCAAGGGAGGCAGGCGCCCAAGGCGUGGUUCGUGAUUGGGGUG